GCUCAGUUCAGUCAUGUAAGUUCUGGUUCAGGUAAGUAGCUUCACUGGAAUUACAAUGCCAGCAGAACUGACUUCUAAGCAUUUCCUGAAGUCCAAGUUACUUAUAGAGCGUUUCUAUACAGGCCAGCUUGUGCCAGGGAAGUGUUCUCUCAUUACAGUUCAGAUCACAACUCAGUGUUUCAUAAUUUGGAGCCCUCUUUAGAUGUGGGCAUAUGGAAGAAUGUUCCCAUUAGUUACUGCUACAGCUCAAUAAUACCAGAGCAAAGUUUUGUGGAAAUUGUAUUGUGAUUAAGAGGAAGAAGGAAGGAAAAAAAAAGAGACAAACCAGGACACAAGAUUGAUUUUUCCACUUGCUAUUCUUCCUUUUUCUCCCUCCCUCCCUUCAGCUAUUUUUAAUAGUAGGGCUUACUUGGUUUUGGCCUAUUACUGCUGAAGCAUGAUCAGAUUCUAAAUAUAGAAGUUGUCAAGGUGAAUCAGUACUACAGUACUCCAGACCCCAGGCUGGAGUCGGGUUCUGAGACUUAGGGCUUGAUACUGGCAGCAAACCCACCUUCAGUUCACUCGCUGAAGACUGAAGGGAGGGAGGUCUCCUGCACGUGGUUGUGCCCUGCACACAGCCACCUGCACACACCUUGCUAAAGUUUCCUCAGCAGACAUUGUAUUGAGAAAAUUUUGGCUAUUAGAAUCUACACAUUCUAAAGCAGAUUCCUUUGGAUUCCUGCUUGGCAUUCUGUAAGAUAUCACAGGACAGAACCAGAUAAGUGCUUGUAUAGAUAGAAAUUUGAGAAGACCCAUUUCUGAAAUUGAGUAGAAAUUUCAGGUCCAGAAGUCACACACAACAGGAAAAAGACAUACAGAGAAUGUGAUCCCCCUACUAAAUAAAACAGCAAGGCAGAUACCUGCAACUGCUGAGGUCUGAGUACAGCCUUUCUCCACUAAUCCUUCUAUCCAACAAGGUUUUUCCCAAUUCAGUCAUGUUUACUGUCAGUUGAUGCCUCAGCAACAUAUCAGAUGCUUUUAUAAAUUGUUGACCUUUACAGUUAGGGCUUACCUGGGGGAGAGAAAUAACUGCUUGUUUUAUUCCUACACCCACAGAGCUAGUUUGCUGAAGAGAUAUUUGCUGGCUGAAGUUUGACCAACCAGACCAUGAAAACAGACUGAUUCUAGUCUAGAGAGUCACUAGGACUAAGGAAGCAUAAGGGACUAGCAGAGUGGCAGCGAGGGUAAGUGUAGCAAGCAGUUAGCAUUUCUGGGCUGGAAAGCCAUGGAAUAUAACUCAGGGUGAUGAUGUGGACAGAGAAGUGGAUGUCUCCAACACCACAGCGUCAAUGACUGUAUAACGUGGACUUGAAGAUAUUUAUAUAAAUAACAGCAGUUGCUGAAACUGAAAUACAGGAAACCCCAUCUCAACAUAAUACACAAGUCCCACUGUGUGAGCAGUUCAACACUGGAACAGGUUGCCCAGAGAGGCUGUGAAGUCUCCAGUCUCGGAGACAUUCAAAGCCUGAUAGGACAAGUUUCUGAGCAACCUCUGUUGUGGGUGAUCCUGCUCUGAGCAGGGGGGGGCAGACUAGACAGUCUCCAGAGGUCCUUUCCAGUAUCAUCUGGUCUGUAACCCCGAGGCAAUCUCUUUAUUCAAUUAAAUGACACUGCAACAAACAAACACAAUCUUCUGCUCUUUAGUCCAAGACAACAGGCAAGUCCUUCCUCAUCUCUCAGCUCAUGUAGGUCUGCACCUUUUCAGGCUGUCAUUAGAAGAUGUAAUGUUUCAUUACUGUUCUUGCAGUAAGGACAGCCUUAAAUCAAUUCCCUUUCCAGGGCUAGUUUUAAGUAUAGCCUGAACAAAUGUGACAGACAGACCCUGGAACACUCCUAAUAAGAACAGCAAAUGAAUUGAAGAAGUUACUGGCUCUGUAGAAAAUUUGUGAUGGUUUUAAUUUGGAUAACAGUACCAGGAAAAAAAAUUAAGGAAACCCUGUUGCUUAAUCAGCAUGGAAUCAGUAACAUCAAUUUGCAUCCUGUACACUAUGAAAUAUUAAGAAUAUCCUUGUCAAAGAGGUAAAUGUUGUUAAAUAAUGGCUAUUACUCAACUCUAGAACAUAGCCGUAAUUUGUUGCCUUUUCUGACACAGAAAUUGAACAAGACAGGUAGUUGGAAUAUAAGAAAGAAACCCUUGUAUCAAUUUGAAUGCAAUUUAGAGCCAGUUUGCUGGCAGGAAGAAAGAAGAAACAUCAUCUCAUUAAUAAAAAAAGCAGUCAGAAAGGUUUGUUAAAAGGGUAGUUACCACAUGUGAUAGUUACUGGUUUGGACAAACCUGAUAUCAACCAAUCCUCUUGUCAUGACACAUAGAUUACGAUAUAUCAACAGUGCUACAGUUACAUCAAGAAAAUGCAAAUAGAUUUGUAUAACAAAGUAGUAAGAGAAUGAUGCUAAAAAUAAACAGAACAAAGAAAUUGAAGAGGAGUGAUAGUAUAGAGCCUAAAAAAAAAAAGGUGUUAAAGGAACUUUUUUUUUUUAAAUGGUUUUCUAUGAACUUCUCUUUCUACCUUGAUUUCAGAAAGACCCAGCUACUUUUGUUCCCUCUCUCCCCCCUACCAGAGGGGAUAGCCAUAAGUAGUAAGUUCAAGUAAUUUUCCCUAGUUAGUACAUAAUAACUGAUAGCUAAACUCAGCUAUUUUUCAUCUCAGAUUUAGACCUUUGACAGCCCCACAAACUUCUCAUUAGCUCUUUGUUGUGUAGUAGUAUGCAAAGCCAUUUCCUUGCUAUAACUAUUACCUGCUUUAGUUUUACCAGGGUGAUAACAACAGCCAAACUAUUUCAACCUAAAGCAGCUGUGAGCAAAAGGGCCUUCUUCCAAGUGUCAACCUCCCAGAAAUAUAUGUAUGAACCAGAAGAAAAAUCAGUGGACAGGAAGUUAUUUGUAUGAGAACAACAGUACAAACCUUACUACUGACUUUUUUUUUUUAGUGUGUGUGAGAAGUUUUAAGAUAAAUAUUCAGAGAUUUACACAGACUGCUAAUCAGAUUAUAAAGCUUUGUCCCCUUAAGUUAGAGUUGUUGAGAGUGCUCUUGAGACCUCACAAAUUCAAGCAGUUGAAACAGAAGGUUCUAGUUGCUUAUUUUCCUACGUUGCCUUUAUUAGUUAGGGUCUAACACCAUAUAGCAGUGAUCUCUAGCAAGGAUAAGAAAUCUGAUCCACCUCCUAAUUAAUUCAAAAAGCAGAUGCACAGUUAUUAUAGUGGUAGCUAUAGUAUCUACUGAUAAAAUGAUGUACUUAAACAUCUUUCACUCAUCAUAGAAGUUCUCCAAUAAUAUUUGAGUGACUGAUAUAUCUUAAAACCAGUAUGACAGCUUACCAUUUAGAAAUAAUACUUGUCUUCAUACAUGUAUAUCUUUUACAAUUGUCCAUCUGCUAAUGUUAGAAGUCUACUCACUGUAAAAAUAUGGAGAUAACAAUAAAAAACAAUUCAGUAUUAUGUAAAAAUAAUAAAAAAAAUACAUUCUAGAUAACAACAAGUUGGUGCUUUAGGAGAUUGUGAGAAAAAAUAGUAUUUCUACAUAGCUAGGUAUACUACUACCUAACCCACUGUUAGUAGUAGUGAAACACUUAGUAGUUCUUAAAUAGCUCAGGUUUGUAUAGGCAAAAAGCUCUCUUUAAGUUAAAGGUUUCUGAGAAAUCAAUUUAUUCAUUUUAAGCGUGAUUGGUUUCAGGUUUGGUGUGUGAGCAAUCAACAGAAGAAAUUAGCAUUGGUCCUGGGGGUAGUUGGGUGAAAGGAAGGCCUUAUCAGGAGGAAUGUUAGUGCAUUGGUAUUGCUGAAGCUACUCAGGCUCUGAAUACACUGGAACUCUUCUGGACUUCUGUGGGUAGAUCCCCUCAGCUAAAAAUAAUUUGUUCUCAGUUCUUAUGCUUCCUUCUGGGUAUUAUAACAUGCAUUGUCCCAGGAGAACAUUGCAGGAGAGCCCUGUUAGGGGCUGACAGAUCUGAAUGCCUUCUACACUGUGCCUAAAGCUCAGUCUGUGUCUAAGAACUACCAAAGCCUCAAGCUGGCAGCAGAAGCUUGCUAAAAGCUGGAGACUGAGAGUCGAUUGAUCUGCAUCCUGAACAUCUUGUGCUCCUGUGGUUUCCAGCACCUGGCAGAGAUGUGAGGAGAGGAGGAAGAAGCUGAGAAGAAAUGGGCUGGUCAGAGGCAGCACCGUGCUCGGUGGUGUGCUGGGGAGCUGAGCGAGGGUCCUGCCCAUCUCGCUCGGCACCUGGGAGCUGGUGAUGGGAAUUCACACCUAACCAUCCACCUAACUUGGUCUAACAGUUCUUAUCGCCUGGAAAUCCCACUGAAAUGAUAGAGUGGUGAGCAAUAGCCUGUGGUGAAUUCUGAACUGUACUAGGGUGUAAUGCUGGUGUCAUCACUUUGAGAUGAAUUCUUGGAAUGAAUAGAAGACAUUUAAUAAUAUAGUUGUAUCUGAUAAAUUCCAAUCUUUGUCUAUUAUAUCAUGUAACACAGCUUUUGGGGCAUAUUUUAUGGUUUGUUACACACUAAUGUAAUCUACUUAAGUGUAUAAUUCUGUAGUAAUCUCAAAUUACUCUUUGGCUAAACAGGAGGGAAUCUAAUAAAACUAUAAAGAGUUCUGAUAUGAUUAAUAUUUAUUUAGUUGUCCUUGUAACUGCUUUUUUAAACUGCUUAUGAGUAACUGCUCUAUAAGGAUAAUUUUUGCACAUUCUGCAAGACUGCCUUUUUUUGGAC